GAGUUUGAUCCUGGCUCCUUAUGAACGCUAGCUACAGGCUUAACACAUGCAAGUCGAGGGGCAGCAUGGUCUUAGCUUGCUAAGACUGAUGGCGACCGGCGCACGGGUGAGUAACACGUAUCCAACCUGCCGUCUACUCUUGGACAGCCUUCUGAAAGGAAGAUUAAUACAAGAUGGCAUCAUGAGUCCGCAUGUUCACAUGAUUAAAGGUAUUCCGGUAGACGAUGGGGAUGCGUUCCAUUAGAUAGUAGGCGGGGUAACGGCCCACCUAGUCUUCGAUGGAUAGGGGUUCUGAGAGGAAGGUCCCCCACAUUGGAACUGAGACACGGUCCAAACUCCUACGGGAGGCAGCAGUGAGGAAUAUUGGUCAAUGGGCGAGAGCCUGAACCAGCCAAGUAGCGUGAAGGAUGACUGCCCUAUGGGUUGUAAACUUCUUUUAUAAAGGAAUAAAGUCGGGUAUGCAUACCCGUUUGCAUGUACUUUAUGAAUAAGGAUCGGCUAACUCCGUGCCAGCAGCCGCGGUAAUACGGAGGAUCCGAGCGUUAUCCGGAUUUAUUGGGUUUAAGGGAGCGUAGAUGGAUGUUUAAGUCAGUUGUGAAAGUUUGCGGCUCAACCGUAAAAUUGCAGUUGAUACUGGAUAUCUUGAGUGCAGUUGAGGCAGGCGGAAUUCGUGGUGUAGCGGUGAAAUGCUUAGAUAUCACGAAGAACUCCGAUUGCGAAGGCAGCCUGCUAAGCUGCAACUGACGUUGAGGCUCGAAAGUGUGGGUAUCAAACAGGAUUAGAUACCCUGGUAGUCCACACGGUAAACGAUGAAUACUCGCUGUUUGCGAUAUACGGCAAGCGGCCAAGCGAAAGCGUUAAGUAUUCCACCUGGGGAGUACGCCGGCAACGGUGAAACUCAAAGGAAUUGACGGGGGCCCGCACAAGCUGAGGAACAUGUGGUUUAAUUCGAUGAUACGCGAGGAACCUUACCCGGGCUUAAAUUGCAGAUGAAUUACGGUGAAAGCCGUAAGCCGCAAGGCAUCUGUGAAGGUGCUGCAUGGUUGUCGUCAGCUCGUGCCGUGAGGUGUCGGCUUAAGUGCCAUAACGAGCGCAACCCUUGUUGUCAGUUACUAACAGGUUCUGCUGAGGACUCUGACAAGACUGCCAUCGUAAGAUGUGAGGAAAGUGGGGAUGACGUCAAAUCAGCGCGGGCCCUUACUUUCGGGGGUACGCACGUGUUACCAUGCGGGGUACAGAGGGCCGCUACCACCCAAGUGGAUGCCAAAUCCCAAAAACAUCUUUAGUUCGGACUGGAGUCUGCAACCCGACUCCACGAAAACUGGAUUCCCUAGGAAUCGCGCAUUACCCCCGGCGCCGGGAAUACCUUCCCGGGCCUUGUACACAACGGCCCGUAAGCCAAUGGAGCCGGGGGGACCCUGAGGGCCCUAACCCCAAAGGAGGGCCCUGGGUUAAACUGGGGACUGGGGGCUAAUCGAAAAAGGAAGCCCCCAAGGCCAUUCCCGCCCGCCAAAUCAAUUCCCUUAUAGGGGCGGGUUUCAUAUCAGGGGGGGGGUUUAAAG
rnacentral:rRNA from 1 species